rnacentral:rRNA from 1 species
UACGUAGGGCGCAAGCGUUAUCCGGAAUUAUUGGGCGUAAAGAGCUCGUAGGCGGUUUGUCGCGUCUGCCGUGAAAGUCCGGGGCUCAACUCCGGAUCUGCGGUGGGUACGGGUAGACUAGAGUGAUGUAGGGGAGACUGGAAUUCCUGGUGUAGCGGUGAAAUGCGCAGAUAUCAGGAGGAACACCGGUGGCGAAGGCGGUUCUCUGGGCAUUACCUGACGCUGAGGAGCGAAAGUGUGGGGAGCGAACAGG